CAUGUUGGAUUUUAAAUAGGAUUGGGCAUUGAGAACCAGUUCCAACUUGGAAUUGUUUAAAAAAUUACAAUUCCAAUGAAAUCUUUAUUAGAAACGUUUGAAAUCGUUUUGAAUCUGAUCAUUGGUUCCAAAUUUAACACGCAUGUUUUGGUUUCCGUGGCGGCCACCGUACUUCCAGGCGCUUGUUGUGUUGCAGCAAUGGAGCACAGUAAGCGGCACUCCAAAGUGUGGUUUUAUUUUACGUUGAAAAGCCUGGUAAAACUGUAAAUCACCAUUGAAUUAAAAUAAAAUGGUCCUCUUAUCUGUGAAAUAAGCAUGUGACCCAUUUCAGCUCCACCCCUCAAAUAAUCAGACUCGAGAAUCGGUAAGAACCGGAAUCAAAAGUAAGAAUUGGAAUAGUUAAAAUCAAAACGAU